rnacentral:rRNA from 1 species
AACGAACGCUGGCGGCGUGCUUAACACAUGCAAGUCGAACGGUAAGGCCCUUCGAGGUACACGAGUGGCGAACGGGUGAGUAACACGUGGGUGAUCUGCCCUGCACUUCGGGAUGAGCCUGGGAAACUGGGUCUAAUACCGGAUAGGACCACUGCCUGCAUGGGUGGUGGUGGAAAGCUUUUGCGGUGUGGGAUGGGCCCGCGGCCUAUCAGCUUGUUGGUGGGGUGAUGGCCUACCAAGGCGACGACGGGUAGCCGGCCUGAGAGGGUGACCGGCCACACUGGACUGAGAUACGGCCCAGACUCCUACGGGAGGCAGCAGUGGGGAAUAUUGCACAAUGGGCGCAAGCCUGAUGCAGCGACGCCGCGUGAGGGAUGACGGCCUUCGGGUUGUAAACCUCUUUCAGCACCGACGAAGCGCAAGUGACGGUAGGUGCAGAAGAAGGACCGGCCAACUACGUGCCAGCAGCCGCGGUAA